CACAAGGUUUGGGCGGAAUAGGCCCAAAUAACUUUAAUAAUUAUCCACUAUAUGGAAAUCAGUUUAAUGGGCCAUAUAAUCCAGGUUUUGGCUAUCAACCAAAUAACUUUAAACCAGGUUUCAACAAUAAUUUCUAUCCAAAUGGUGGCUUUCAACCAGGCUAUGGCAAUGGCAUUAACGGACCCAUUAAUAAUGGAUAUUUCCCAGGCGGUGGUGGUUAUGGACCAAAUCGAUACCCGGGCGCUGGAUACAAUCCAUUGGGAAAUAGUGCAGCAAAUGGAGUAUUAGUUGGUCCCGGAGGACCAACCGGUUUAUAUGGCCGCCCUCCAAAUUAUUAUGGCCCAAAUCAAUUAGGAUUUAACGGUGCUGGCGGCUUCGGGCCAGGCAUCAAUCAAGGUGGAUUUAGUGGAGCACCAUUUAAUAAUGGAUUUAACAACAACUAUGGCCCACCAUACAAUGGCAUUGGCGGAGGUGGUUUUUCACCCAAUGGAAUCAUUCCAUUCAACAGCAAAGCUGGAUCGGGAAUUCUCGCCGAUGAAGGCAAUGAUUCAAAAGAGAGAUCACUUGACAAAAAAACCAACGAGUAAUUCACUCGACGCAAAAACUUUAAGCGAACAAAAUUAGAUAUAGAAAAGAGUCGAAUUUAAUUUAAUGCGCCGAAACAUUUGUACAUAGAAUAUAUAUUUUGAAAAAAAACUGUGAUCUACAUGGAAUGUCAAGUGACGAUUUGUUAUCGAAAUAAUGCGCGGAUAAUGUUGAAGGUUAUAUAAUCAAUAAGAGUAUUUAAUAUAUGAAACAUUUAUCGAUGCACCGAAAAAUCAAUAAAAGUGAAAAGA